rnacentral:rRNA from 1 species
GUCCACGCCGUAAACGAUGGAUACUAGCUGUUGGGCGCAAGUUCAGUGGCUAAGCGAAAGUGAUAAGUAUCCCACCUGGGGAGUACGUUCGCAAGAAUGAAAACUCAAAAGGAAUUGACGGGGGCCCGCACAAGCGGUGGAGCAUGUGGUUUAAUUCGAUGAUACGCGAGGAACCUUACCAAGGCUUAAAUGUAGAUUGACCGGUUUGGAAACAGAUCUUUCGCAAAGACAAUUUACAAGGUGCUGCAUGGUUGUCGU